ensembl:lncRNA
UUUUUCCGUUAUUCAUUGGAGUUUUUUUAACCAUUCUUAGUCUGGCCCCUCACCUGAGACCACUCUGCCAUGAGAGACCCUACCAGGAGCACAAGGCUCCAGACAACACAGCUCUCAGGUUCACAGGGACACGCAAACCUCUCCACCAUGAUAAGGUGACGGUUCCAGGAGAGACUUCGAAACCGGAUAGAUCGAAACCGUAACGGUUUCGCCCGUUUCGGCUUCGUGUGAACGGGGCCUGAAUCACUUCGGCACUUCCUUUUUCCCCGCAACGUGGAGGAAUAAUUUGAAGACCGCUCCAUCUAGCUCCCUCCACAGCCAGACACAGCAACGAUCCUCCAGCUCCAUUCAGGCCGUGAAGGUGGACAGCUUUCUCUGAGCUGCUUUGGCCGUUUGCUGUUUGCUCAGCCUCCUGUUCCUCUCACGGAUUUCCCCCCCGAGCCUGCACAUCACAAUUUUUUUUAUUGCUAUUGUCUCCAAUAGAAUUGCAUGCUCAGGGUGUGAGCUGAAGAGGCUUUUGAACACCCCCAGACUGCCCAGAGCCCUCUCCAUUUUUUUGGUGAUCUGGAUGAGAGGCCAGAAAGCGUCGAUGUUCCAUCCAAAUUCCCCCUCCAAAAGCUGGAUGGCAGCGAAAAACCCUUCCGAAGGCCUCAUUAGGUUUGCCGUUGCCGUGUAUUUUUUUGCCUCCAGGAAGGGGUGGUCCUCACUUGUGGCGUAGCUGUGGUCCUGAUGUCUGGCACCCAACAGCAGCACCUCACAGUGUGGACAGGCCUGAACAAUUUCCUCCUUUUGAAGGACCCGGACAAGCCAGCCAGCAACGUAGAACAGGCCCUCCUCCUGGAUGCAAUCGCCAACAGUCUACAAGGUGGUAGGGAGGGCCAUUGAGGUCAUUGGAGCUGUUGAGGUGGAGGGGAUUGCGUCCUCUGAGAUACUGGCUAGGAGGGUUGUCCCGUCAUCCAGCUCGCAGUUUGAUGAAGUCGAUGCAGAAAGAGCAGGGCAUGUUUGAACAGGUUGUUCCUGAUUGAUUUCAGAAGCCCUAUAUGAUGUAGGUGGCGAAUGGCAUCCUUAAUGACGGUAGCAAUAUCAUCUGCUGGCAUUGAAGAUGAGGAAAAUAAGUAACCCACCGUCUGUUGGAAGACAUGCUUUAGCCCCAGAUGCAGAUACACCAUAAAUGGCAUCGUUCUUGCGAUCAUAAUCAAAUUGUUUUUUGAUUGACAUCUCGUCCAG